rnacentral:rRNA from 1 species
CCUACGGGUGGCAGCAGUCGAGAAUUUUUCACAAUGGGCGAAAGCCUGAUGGAGCGACGCCGCGUGGGGGAUGAAGGGCUUCGGCUCGUAAACCCCUGUCAGUCGUGACCAAAGCCUUUUACUGAACAAGUAAGAGGUGUGAUGGUAGCGACAGAGGAAGGGACGGCUAACUCUGUGCCAGCAGCCGCGGUAAGACAGAGGUCCCAAGCGUUGUUCGGAUUCACUGGGCGUAAAGGGUGCGUAGGCGGUAGGUUAAGUCCGAUGUGAAAUCCCGGGGCUCAACCCCGGAAUUGCAUUGGAAACUAUCCUGCUGGAGGGUUGGAGAGGGGACUGGAAUUCU